GGGGGGAGGGGAGGAGAUCCCGGAGUGUUUGGCCACGCCCACCUAGGGGGGAGGAGCCAAUGGGAGGAGGGAAGAGGGGGUGGGACCAAUCAGGGGCCGCGAACCCGAGCGGGGUCAAGGAAAGGUCAGCCAAGAUCAACCCAACCAAACCAAACCCAACCAAACCCAACCCAACCAAAGGUCAACCCAACCCAAGCAAAGGUCAACCAAGGUCAACCAAACCCAACCCAAGGUCAACCAAGGUCAACCCAACCCAAGGUCAACCAAACCCAACCCAAGGUCAACCAAACCCAACUGCAAGUCAACCCAACCCAACCCAACCCAACCAAAGGUCAACCAAGGUCAACCAAACCCAAGGUCAACCAAACCCAGCCAAAGGUCGACUAAGGUCAACCAAACCCAACCCAACUCAACCCAACUCAAGAUCAACCCAACCCAACUCAAGAUCAACCCAAC